GACGGGGGGGGCAAGUGUUCUUCGGAAUGACUGGGCGUAAAGGGCGCGUAGGCGGCGGGUCAAGUCGAGUGUGAAAGCCCCGGGCUCAACCUGGGAGGUGCGCUCGAGACUGGUCUGCUAGAGUUCGGGAGAGGAGCGUGGAAUUCCCAGUGUAGAGGUGAAAUUCGUAGAUAUUGGGAAGAACACCGGUGGCGAAGGCGGCGCUCUGGACCGAGACUGACGCUGAGGCGCGAAAGCGUGGGGAGCAAACAGG
rnacentral:rRNA from 1 species